rnacentral:lncRNA from 10 species
CUAAGCGCUCUGGGCUCUCUGGUUCCUCGCCCCAUCAGCAUAGGUAGGAUUUCCAGCUUACUUUCAAGGUCUCUUCCUCCUGCCAGGUAUUGCAGGGAGGCCCCGGAAGGUGUCACCUGUGCACUCAGGCAUCAGCCCUGCCGCAGCUUCCCUCUGCUGCCUCAGGCUGCCAACUGCUGCUGCCUGAAUGCCCUUCUGGCUGCUGCUCCCUGAAGCACCCUGGCCUCUGCAGUGCCAGUCAUCAGUCACCUCUACUGCUCCUGCCCACUGCUGCUAGGGACCUGCGGAUGGACAGCGAGUGGCUGCAGCAUCAUCACUCUCUAUCCUCAAGAGUCCCUGGCGGCUGCAGUCUAGCAUGAAAGCAGAUGGAAGACAUCACCCUCUUGCCUGCAUUAGCCUGAUCGGGGGUCCUCUGCAAAUGGCUGAGCCCCAAGCCCCUGAGUUGGUUGCAUUGUGCAGCCCCUUGGUGGCAACUCAUGAAACCAGAUACACCAGGGUGACUUUUCAACCAAGAUUAGAAGUAAAGGAACAAGUCAGCAUGGAUUGGGGGCGCUGACCAAGAAAGACAAAGAUAGAG